UCCAACCUGAUCACCCUCAUUUGAUAUGGUGAUACAGCAUUGUGUAUCUUCUCUACCAGAUACGUGUCUAGUUCAUCUAUAUCCUCUUGCAGCGUGUCAUUUGUUGCUGUAAGAACCAUGAUUUGUUUCUCCAAAUUGACUACAAUAGCUUUAUUGUGAACCUUAUGCAGAGAAGCGGCCUGUUGUGUCUGUUUCAGCUCUUGGGCCAUCUUCUCUCCCUGAGACUUGUAUUCUGCCUCCACAGCCUUUUUUCUCUGGAGUUCCACAUUUGUCUUUUUGAGAGUCUCAGAGACCUGUAUAUUGUCCUUUCUAAGAACCCGAUUCUGUUCCUCCAACUCUGCUAUUGUAUGUUGAUUCGAAGUCCAUUCCAGAUUUUGUUCACAUCUUUCUCUCACAUGCUGCUUACUUAUCUCUCUAAGUGCCAGUACCUCUUUACCCAACUGGACCAUCUUAUUUUUCUGAGACUUUAUUUCAUUCUCCAGGGCCUUGCGUUUAAUUGUUUGCCUACGCAAUAGUCUCUUUGCCUCUAUGACUUUCAGCGACUGCGUCACAUGUGUUGUGCAGAUAUUACCACGGCAGUUGUUUAAUGCCUCUUUCGAUCGGACAACGAUGUGUGGGCUUGGGCUGAUUUCUCGUGGAUUCAACCAUGUUACUGUUGCUGUGUGCACGCUGGAUUCUGGAUUCAAUCUUUUUCUUUUUCCUGGCUGCAUGCUUGAUUCUGAAUAUUCCACAUUGAUUUCUGGAUUGGAUCUUUUUCUUUUUGCUGGCUGCACGCCGGAUUCUGAAGUUUCCAGCUUGAUUCCCUUUGGAUCGGGUGCCUGGUUUUCCUCUUUGCUUUCGGCAAAACCAAACAUGUUUUUCAAACGCUUAAGCAUUGUUGGAAUAAAUCUUGAUCAAUGGUCUCUGAAAUUAAUCUUAUCUUAUACGUCCACUUGUACAAGAAAAAACUGCACCUCUAUGGCUACUGGCUAUACCUACUCCGAUAUAUAGAAAAAAAGAUCAAGGUCACCUUCAUGACAAGGGACUCUAUGACGUCAAUGGAAUGCGCUUUGAUCUGGCUCCGCCAUGUGAGUGAAGUCUCAUUCAUUGGUUCUCGCGAGAUCUCAUGCCUCAGUCUACCAACACAUUCACCGUAAGCUACAGUUUUACAUUGUUAGCUGCUAAUGUUGUACAACUUUAGCUAUCGAGCAGGGGACCGGGAGCUUUCCGCCAGCUGAACCAGAGUGGAUACCGGAGAAAACCCCGCUGUGUCGGCUGGGUACGAUGUCGGUAAACAGGCAUUUUGGUCACCCCUUCUGCUGUGGCUCAGGCAGAGAAGAAGAAUAGAGAGGCUCUGUCGACUUGUCCCUCAGCUCAGGACAGGUCUGGAGGCUCACCUGGUGUCGGCCAACUCCCGAUACAUCCAGGCGCAACAACAGCAUGUUGGGCGACUUCGGGGACGAGAUGGACCAGACGUCGUCCCGCAUGGACUCAGUCCUCAAGAAGCUGGAGAAGGUGUCCCACAUGACCAGCAAUCCUGGUCACACCUGAUUAUCCCUCAUUCCCUUCACCUGGUCCUCACGCCCAUCUCACCUGCAGCCCGUUUCCUCAUUAGUCUCUCACUACUUAGGUCUCCUCAUUUGCAUUUGUCCUUUGCUGGAUUGUCUUGUGUGUUCUGAUCUACCUGUGCUAACCCUGUCCCGCCGACCCUGGAUUUGACCCUGGAUUUGACCUUGGAUUUGUUUGCCUGUUUUGACUGACCUCCCGGUUUUGACUCCCUGAAACUGGAGAAAGUAUUUUGCUUGUCCAUCUGAUUCUGAGUCGUGCUUGUGAGUUCCAGUACCUGUAACCCUUGCAGAUAGAAAAGCUUCAUGCCGUUCUACAUUUUUGCUGCUCGUUAUGAUUCAUGUUCCUGGGUGGGAGUCGGUUGCAGAGAGAUUUUGUUUGAUUUAGCUGCUGCGUCAGGCAGAAGAUACUGACAUUAAACCUUAAAUGAUGAGAAGUGAUGCUUCCUGUAGGAUUCAUUAAUAUGUCUUUUCUGCUUCACAACUGCUUUAUUUAAGUUUGUCAACAUAAAUGACAAGCAAAUGGAUGACGCAGAUGAUCAAAUAUACCACCAGGACAGCUUCAGUCAGAACUGAUGCUCAUAAAUUAGCCAGGAUGGAGAAACUGACAGAUGAAUUCACUUUGAUAUUAAUGUCAUAUUCUCAUCCUCUAAUUUCACACUUUUUUUUGUAAUUUUACAUCACUUAAAUUUAAGGUCAUAUGAUAUACGAUAUAAGGUGAUAUUCGAGACUGGGAGCAUUUCUGUUGCUUUUUUAUGUUUAUGAAAACACGAUUCUUCUCAUCAGGUGAUUAAUGUAGAACAUUAAAUUAUUGGGCUGAUGCUUUUGCGAAACACUUGGUUAAGCUUAACUAAAACAAUGAUUUUAAGGCUCAUCACUGCCUAAGACUGGGAUUCUGUAAGAAAUCCGACUACCUCAGAAAGACAAAUGGAACUCGCCAGUGUGGAUCGACGGCUCACGACUUCAUGGUGACAAAUCGGGUUCGGUAUCGUUUUAGGAAAUAUCUGAUCAAAAGAUAUUAACUCAAUACCUUUCUUGAGAGGUCAUUAGAAACUGCCAACAAAGAGUACAAAUAUAGGAAGACAUGAGAACUAAUAAUUCUAACACUGUUUAUUUAACAUCCGUAUCCACCUGAUAAAAUACACACAAACGCAGGGGUCCGAGCAUAUCAGCGCAAAACACAAAUACACACGCGGGCGCUGUGUUGAAGGCACCAUUAGCACGCUCGGUUAGCUGAGCAGAAUCUAAUUCCCCAGAUUGAUGUGUGAAAGGUGCAGAGGGAAGAUCUGAUGACAUCACACAGAGGGAUUUAGACUUUACUGCACUAUGUCUGUACAGUCACAAUAGUUGUUUGUUGCUAUAUAUAUAUAUAUAUGAAGAGAACUCAGGGAAAAGUACUAAAAUGCUUUUCUGGUCUCUUAUUAAAAAAAUAUCCAAAGUCCAAAAAGUGACCAAAUCAUUUCUGAGUGACUUAAUCCUUGUCCUUUUCUUUAUUCUAUAUUAAUUCCUGGUCAUAUGGUCGGUCUAUCUGCCCACUAUUGUGCGUGUUUAGAGAAAAGAAGCACGGGGGAUCAGAGUUUAAUCUCUUGUGUGGAGCACUGUAGUGUGAAGGGCCCCUCUGGAAAAGCAGAAGAGAAAUACUUGGCAUCAUUAAAGUAACUUCUUUUAAAUCACUUCUUAAACCCAUUGUUAUAGAACAGAUUUUAAGUGAUGUCGUCCUUUUAUGCAGUUCUUUGGUUCCCCUAAUUUAGUUUGUCUGUUUUUUCUAUUUUCUAUGUGUAUCUUACCAUUCUAUUUGUUUUGCAUUGAUUCUCUGUAGAGCACUUUGUAAACUCUGUUUUUAAAGGUGCUAUAUAAAUAAAGUUAUUAGGGUCCUCGUCGACUUCGUCGUAGAGGAACCUAUUGUUAUUGUAACGAU